UACAGAGGGUGCAAGCGUUUAAUCGGAAUUACUGGGCGUAAAGCGUGCGCAGACGGUUGCGUAAGUCAGAUGUGAAAGCCCCGGGCUCAACCUGGGAACUGCAUUUGUGACUGCAUCGCUGGAGUGCGGCAGAGGGGGGAUGGAAUUCCGCGUGUAGCAGUGAAAUGCGUAGAUAUGACCCGGAACACCGAUUGCGAAGGCAGCCUACUAAGCAAGUAUUGACGCUGAGGCACGAAAGCGUGGGGAGUCAAACAGGA
rnacentral:rRNA from 1 species